GUCCACGCCGUAAACGAUGAGUGCUAGACGUUGGGGAGCUUGCUCUCCGGUGUCGCAGCUAACGCGUUAAGCACUCCGCCUGGGGAGUACGGCCGCAAGGUUAAAACUCAAAGGAAUUGACGGGGCCCGCACAAGCGGUGGAGCAUGUUGUUUAAUUCGAAGCAACGCGCAGAACCUUACCAGCCCUUGACAUGGGGGUCGCGAGCGUCGGAGACGGCGUUCAUCAGUUCGGCUGGACCCCACACAGGUGCUGCAUGGCUGUCGU
rnacentral:rRNA from 1 species